rnacentral:rRNA from 1 species
GUAGGUGGCAAGCGUUGUCCGGAAUUAUUGGGCGUAAAGCGCGCGCAGGCGGUUCUUUAAGUCUGAUGUGAAAGCCCACGGCUCAACCGUGGAGGGUCAUUGGAAGCUGGAGAACUUGAGUACAGAAGAGGAAAGCGGAAUUCCACGUGUAGCGGUGAAAUGCGUAGAGAUGUGGAGGAACACCAGUGGCGAAGGCGGCUUUCUGGUCUGUAACUGACGCUGAGGCGCGAAAGCGUGGGGAGCAAACAGGAUUAGAUACCCUGGUAGUCCACGCCGUAAACGAUGAGUGCUAAGUGUUAGGGGGUUUUCCGCCCCCCUUAGUGCUGCAGCUAACGCAUUAAGCACUCCGCCUGGGAGUACGGCCGCAAGGCUG